rnacentral:tRNA from 1 species
CGUAGGCCGUGCUGCACAGGCUCGACCAGGCGUCGAUCCCCGCGACGUGCAGCGGCUCGACGCGGGACCGGUUCAGACCGGUGGGCGACGUCC